rnacentral:rRNA from 1 species
UACCAGCACCCCGAGUGGUCGGGACGAUUAUUGGGCCUAAAGCAUCCGUAGCCGGUUCUGCAAGUCUUCCGUUAAAUCCAGCCGCUCAACGGAUGGGCUGCGGAGGAUACUACAGGACUAGGAGGCGGGAGAGGCAAGCGGUACUCAGUGGGUAGGGGUAAAAUCCUUUGAUCCAUUGAAGACCACCAGUGGCGAAGGCGGCUUGCCAGAACGCGCUCGACGGUGAGGGAUGAAAGCUGGGGGAGCAAACCUG